AGAGUUUGAUCCUGGCUCAGGAUGAACGCUGGCGGCGUGCUUAACACAUGCAAGUCGAACGAUGAAGCCCAGCUUGCUGGGUGGAUUAGUGGCGAACGGGUGAGUAACACGUGAGUAACCUACCCUUGACUCUGGGAUAAGCCCGGGAAACUGGGUCUAAUACCGGAUAGGAACGUCCACCGCAUGGUGGUUGUUGGAAAGAUUUAUCGGUCAUGGAUGGACUCGCGGCCUAUCAGCUUGUUGGUGAGGUAAUGGCUCACCAAGGCGACGACGGGUAGCCGGCCUGAGAGGGUGACCAGCCACACUGGGACUGAGACACGGCCCAGACUCCUACGGGAGGCAGCAGUGGGGAAUAUUGCACAAUGGGCGAAAGCCUGAUGCAGCGACGCCGCGUGAGGGAUGACGGCCUUCGGGUUGUAAACCUCUUUCAGUAGGGAAGAAGCGAAAGUGACGGUACCUGCAGAAGAAGCACCGGCUAACUACGUGCCAGCAGCCGCGGUAAUACGUAGGGUGCGAGCGUUAUCCGGAAUUAUUGGGCGUAAAGAGCUCGUAGGCGGUUUGUCGCGUCUGUCGUGAAAGUCCGGGGCUUAACCCCGGAUCUGCGGUGGGUACGGGCAGACUAGAGUGCAGUAGGGGAGACUGGAAUUCCUGGUGUAGCGGUGGAAUGCGCAGAUAUCAGGAGGAACACCGAUGGCGAAGGCAGGUCUCUGGGCUGUAACUGACGCUGAGGAGCGAAAGCAUGGGGAGCGAACAGGAUUAGAUACCCUGGUAGUCCAUGCCGUAAACGUUGGGCACUAGGUGUGGGGACCAUUCCACGGUUUCCGCGCCGCAGCUAACGCAUUAAGUGCCCCGCCUGGGGAGUA
rnacentral:rRNA from 1 species